UACACAAAGCAUAUGAUGAGAAAGCAUUAAAACUGAGUGUGUGAAGCAUAUUCAAUCCAACACUGAGCUUUGUGUC
ensembl:snoRNA small nucleolar RNA, C/D box 69